AGCCUCAUCACUACCAGGUGACUGAGGGCCCCGCGGACACAGGGCUCCUCCCCCGCGUGUCCGCGCGUCCACGGAUGAACCACGCGCCGUGGCCCAGGGGAGAGGAAAGCACUCCGUUCCCGGCAGGCGGCGGCCUGUCUGCUGGGAGAGAAUCAUCAUGACGAUCCUUGAAACUGAGAACAAGCCAAGAUGAUGAUAAAAAAAAAAUAGGGAAUAUGAGAGUGGAGCUCAGAAAAGAAAAAAAAAGCUGAAAAGAGAAAAGAAAAAUCUUCAGAGAAAUGGACUUUGUUGAGUUUUUAAGACCUGGAAACAUUGUCAGUGGGCACGUUUGCAUGUCCAAAUGCACUCAUGCCAUUACUAACACCGAUGAAAGAAAACCGGAUACAGCGACUAGUCCAGGUACCCAACAAAGGUUUCUUUCUGUGGCCCAACCCAUCCCCUGCACAUUUCCAGAAGAGGGAACGCAAAAGGGAAAAGAAUGAAGCCUCUACAACUGCCUCGGGGCUUUCAUCCCAGCACAUCUGAGCCACAUCCUAAGCAGACAGCAUUUACAAGGGAAGCUUAAAGUGGAGACUGUAUUCCACUGCAUGUUAACAAACAGUUUUGUUAUUUCUCUAACAACACGUGCAAGGUCACCUUGAAGUUAUGGAAUGGAGAGUGUGUGAGUUUCCCAUUUUUAUUUUUCGAGAUGUGCCACAAGGCUGGCCUAGGCCGGGAUUGGGCGCAGAACGCAGAGAGAAGUAGAAACCACUUGUCUCUUGAAGUUUGCCUGCUGGUCUCCUAGCAACCGGCUCCUUGUUGGAGGCACAGCUGAGGUGUCUGGGGACCCAGAAUGUGAAGAGGCACAUAUUCGCUUUUCCACCAGAUAGUGAAUUUUUUUGUAAUUGUUACAAAUACUCCAUUUAAGCGACAGUGGAUCUCCUGCUGGCUUUCCAGGUGGAGGAGAGAGACAAAGACCUGCCAGGCUGGCAUUGAAGUCCCUGGAGCCUCACCAUAGAACAGGCAUAGACUGGAAGUACACCGUGUCUCACCAAACUCUGACCCAACUGGUAUCAAAGCCCUGGUUCCGCUCAGUCUCCAAGGAACGGUCUCCCGCCUGAUGCCUGGCAGAGGAGAGGGGAAGCGUCAGAUGGAGCCUUUACAGUCUUUUCUCAAAAUGCCUGGCAUACAAUAAAAAUUAUCAAACAUG